rnacentral:rRNA from 1 species
AUGACUUCUCCCUUUCAUUCAGUUGGUCAGCCGGUCGACGCACCCAACAAUGUUGCAGCACUCACCGCGCUUAUUGAUCAUUGGAGGCCGGAGACACACACUUUCCAUCUUCGGACUGGGGAGAUGACCGUGACGCUCCAGGAUAUGGCUAUGAUCACCGGUCUUCCUAUCGAGGGUAAUCCUCUAUGUAUGAGCACCGAUUCUGAUGGGUGGCGCGAGCAGAUGCAUGCCCUUAUUGGUAUGGUUCCUCCAAAGCCUCGACAACCAGAAAGAGAAGACAAGAAGAAGGAAAGAGUCGCAAACUAUGUUUGCUGA